GUUCCGCCUGUGUCCAGGAUCUGUGCGUUCGUCCUAAGAUGAAAUCCAUGCUGGUGUCCUAGAACCACACUAGUGUACCAGGACGUCCACGCGCUAGCGUCCAAAAGGCAUGCUAGCGUCUAGUAGAAAACAAAAAAUGUUAUAGCGAAAAAUUUACUGUGUAUUACUUGCUCGGAGAAAAAUUUACUGUUUCUUUUAUGCAGGGACUGCCAGAGGUAUGAGAAGUCAUCUACUUUCGACACUGCAAGUCUGAGAAGAUGAGAUGAUGAUAGCAGAGUGGGCACAGUUACGAUAGGUAGGACUUUGGUGGGUCUACCACAUGGGAGAGUUUUGAUUCCAUGCGUCGAUGCUACGAGCACUGAUGGAGAGAUGGGAUGUCAACACGAUGUCAUUCCACCUUAUACCCACCAGCGAGAUGACUGUCACAUUGCUUGAUGUUUACCAGAUAAUGUGGCUGCCCAUCCAAGGUUAGCGAGUGUCCCUUAUAGAAGCUUUCGCACACGAGCUGGCCAAGUACCAACCAUGGGCAUUAGGCUGGACCAUACAUGUGACCGACCGUAUCUACUUAUGGGUGCUCAUGUAGGGGCGAGUAGCCAUUCAUCUUAGUUGUCUGGUCAUGAUUGCCACGAUGGCACCGAGAGUGAAUCUGUGUACAGAUGAUGUGGAUCUGAGCUCACCACAAGAUUCGUGCCACUUAUUAUAGAGAUGGAGGUGCGGGGCACUGUGUAUGUGUUGGAGUCAUGUUAACUUCCAACUAAGACUGUUAGCGCAACUACCAAACUCUUUGUUUUUGCAGUGAUUUAUGGUGAGACUGCUGAGACUGCAGUUGCAUGCUUGUUAGGACAGCAAUGCAACAGAAUUAGAUCUAAGCUAACGAAGGGAGGUCUCAGUUUUAACUCUGGCUUUUCUGAAAUUACCCUCAUCUACUCCAUGAAUUCAGCUCUUAUGAGAGUUCUUUAUUUGUAUAAAUCUACAUUUUACAAUUGUAACUUGCACAAUGAAUUAAUAUAAUUUCAUUUUUGGAGGUUUUUUUUUUCCUUAUCUAUUUUAUGAAAGUUUUGUUUCUUACUUCUUAGCUAGAUCUGUAUUCUACAAUGUAGAAAAUUUAACAGUAUGUGUGGGGCCAAAGCAUGCUUGCCCACUUAUACCAUGAUUUGAGCAGGUAUGUGCACCACGAGUUCCAGAGCCUGAUCGUGUGCACUCUUCUUCAGGUUUGGAUGUUCGAUCACAUUACAUGUGUCAGGCCUAUUGAAUUUCCCUAUGCGAUGUCUUUGGACAUUUUGCAGGCACAUGCCUAUCCACUACGGCUAGGGGUCAUAGAGGACUUCACCAGCUAGUGGAGUACAUAGGGCCCUCACCCAAUCUUCCCUCCAGAUCCUCCAAAGGGUGAUUUUGGGGCCUUGAGUAGAGAUGGGGAUGAGCAAGAGGAGCAGUAGAAGGACAAGCCUAGGCAGAGGCAACUUACAACGAUCCUGAGCCCAAUGAGGCCACCCACAGGACCACGACCUCCUUCACUACUGGACUCACCUAUAGCCAUGAAGGGGCCACCGCUAGUAGCUACAACAAAGGCGAGAGAGACAAGCAGAGAGCCUCCACAAUAUCCUGACUGACAGAGGGGCGAUCCAGGACCUUGCAGAGAUCGUCCAUGCAGUAAACGUUUGAGGAUCUGUCCUAGAUGCAUAUCGGCCCCGGCAGUCAGCUGGGAGACAUGCAGAUCUGUUCGAACCUGUAGCAUGGCUACGGACAACAUUUGAGGAGGGUCAAGCAGAACUAUUGCAGAGCAUUACACGGUUGGCCAUGAUGACGGGGAAAAGGGACUAGGCCUUGGCUUAGGUUUAGAAUUUUCUCAUGGAGCGAGACCAGGCAGUGACGAGGGCUAAGAGUACUAAGAGAGAACGUGACACCCCACAGAGUCGGGAUGAUGUCCUCCAGAGACAGGUCAACGUCACCCAAUAGGGCGCAGCUGGUGACCUUGAUCACUCUUGAGUGCGCUAGCUGAUGCUAGACCUAGAUGCAACGAGGUAGCGGGAGGACACCCUUAGGGAGGAUCUAAUGACCUAGAGGGAGAUGAUGGCAGAGUUGCACGGAGAUCUAAGAUGCCUUCGCUCACGGAGCACUACAAUAGCUAGAUCACAUUCCACCUCAAUUCGGCAGCCAUCACGUCGAGACCAGGAUCCCCCAGCACUAGCAGGUUCAGGGACUCAUGCCCCUAGAGGGUCUUGAGGAUACAUUUUUGAGAUUAUAUCGAUUCAUCUUUCUGAUAGUGAUGUAUAGCAUUCUUUUGAUAUAUACAUGUACAGAUGUAGUUUCAUAGACACGUAUACUGUCAUCACAUUAUUUUUGUAGUGAUGUGACACAUGUACACUAAGACUCGACAUUCAUAUAGAGGACACUCCUGAUUUGACUA